rnacentral:lncRNA from 1 species
UCCUGGCUUGCAGAAAGAACUCUUUAUUAAUAAUCUUAAUUUGAAUGGUCACACCUUGGAAGCACACAGAAUGGUAAGAAAGGAAGCCUGGGGUUCGGCUGCAGUCCUGGGGUGGGGGCCGGGGCGAGGGGUCUGAGCUGCUGCGAGAAAAGGGUCCAGAACAGCCGAGGGCGGGGGCUCUGCGGAGGGCGGAGGGGAAUAGAAAAGGAGGGUCGUCCCAGAGCUUCGGUACUGACGCUGAAUAGAAAGUGAGGUGUCAUUUACUUUUGAAGUUUCAUGAGACAGUGGAGCUGUGUGGGGAGCCCGUGUGGGGUUUUUUGCUGCUUCCCUACUCCAGCUAUCCCUGCCUUGCCGGGGCUCCUCGCUGCCACCGCCACCUGCUCUCUGCACCACCGGCCUCCGUCCCACGUCUCUCACCUGCCAGAAGCCUGGAGGGGUGUGGCCCAGCUGGCCUCCCGCCUCCCUCCCCCUUCUGUGGGCCCUGCCCUGGCUUGUUCGUCUGUACCCUAGCACCGUGACUCCCCACCUGGCAACACAGCUGGGUGCUGGCCCGCCCUGGCCCCUCAGCUCCCUGGCUGGGGAGGGGUGGGGAGGGCUGGGUUCCAACAGGUUGGCCUCAGUCCCAUAGGCCGGGCCCAGGGCCCCUCCAAGAAAGGACAGAGAUGGCCACUAGGUGCAGGUGCUCUGCCUCAGGGCCCACCAGUCCACUGGGCUUCGUCUGCUCUGCUCUGCUCUGCUCUGCCGCUGGGGCACUCUCAACAUGGGGCGGAGGGCGAGGGGCACCCAGAGUUCUGGAGCCACAUGGGCCCUUGCGUUGGAGUUGGACCCCAGGGCUGCUGGUCGGACAGCUAAGGACACGGACGGCACCGCAGGGCCUGCGGGGAGCAACGUAGGUGAUGGGGCCAUGCUGGAGCCCCAGGGAUGACAAGCCACCGGCCCGCCCUGCACCCGCACCCAGCCCCGCCAGGGCACAGCUGGCAACAGAUUGCGUCCUGCUGGCUGCUCUUCUGGCUCAGGCCAGGCCUGCUCCACCGCUGAGCCCCACGCCUGUGGAGCAGGAGCCGGGGAAGGCAGACUGGCUAGAGCCCCUGCUGGCCACCAUCAGGCCUUUCCCCUCCAACUCUCCCACUGCGCCCGCUGGGAAGGACACGUCCCCACAGCGCCGCCAGCUGGGCAGGGCCGCUCUCCACGUGCCCUGUGGGCCGUGCUCCUCGGUGCGGUGUGCGACAGACGCGGACUUGGACUCGGUUGGAUGCCUCUGGGUUGGUUGGUUUUUUUGUUGCUUGGAUCUUAACAUCUUUUUUUUUGUUUUGUUUUUUGUUUUGUGAUUUUUUUUGUUUUUUUGUUUUUGCCCUUCAUGGUCCGAGAAGGAAACGGUGGAAGGUUUCACUACAACAGAAACAGAAAGGCGGCA